rnacentral:lncRNA from 1 species
AUGAAAAACAGAUUCUAGACUUACAGGGUAUUUGUGAGAAGUUGAAAGUCGAAAAUGGCAAACUGUUGGGUCAGACCACAGUGCUAAAGCGUCAAAUCCAGCAAAGUUGAGGAAGGAAUAUCACCAGGCCAAACAGUGUUACGACUUGAGUGUUUGGUACAACGGUGAUAACUGGUACGAUAACAGAAUGUGUUACAGCUGCGGCUAUC